rnacentral:rRNA from 1 species
CCUACGGGCGGCAGCAGUGAGGAAUAUUGGUCAAUGGGCGCGAGCCUGAACCAGCCAAGUAGCGUGAGGGAUGAAUGCCCUACGGGUUGUAAACUUCUUUUAUAAGGGAAUAAAGUGAGGCACGUGUGCCGUUUUGUAUGUACUUUAUGAAUAAGGAUCGGCUAACUCCGUGCCAGCAGCCGCGGUAAUACGGAGGAUCCGAGCGUUAUCCGGAUUUAUUGGGUUUAAAGGGUGCGUAGGUGGGGUGUUAAGUCAGUUGUGAAAGUUUGCGGCUCAACCGUAAAAUUGCAAUUGAGACUGGCAGCCUUGAGUACAGUUGAGGUAGGCGGAAUGCGUGGUGUAGCGGUGAAAUGCUUAGAUAUCACGAAGAACUCCGAUUGCGAAGGCAGCCUACUAAACUGCCACUGACAUUGAUGCUCGAAAGUGUGGGUAUCAAACAGGAUUAGAUACCCUAGUAGUC